CUCGUGUGUGUGUGUGUGUGUGUGUGUGUGUGUGUAUUUAGCUUUUAUCAGAAGCUUAACUGUUUUAGGCUCCUGAUCUAAUUUAAUUUGCAGAACCUCUUGAAUUCUACUUUAUUUCUUCUUUCUAAGAAGACCCAGAAGGCAGGCAUCCAUGGGGGUUUAUUAUCUGGCACACAGAGAUACAUGAGAAGACCUCAGCGCUGCCCUUGUUCCCUCACAUGGUGUCUGCUUGGGUCCUGUAACAUUAGAAUUGGCAUGUAAACACCGUGACUUCUGCAGACAUCACUGUGAAAACGUCCCAGUUAUCGAGCAGUCCUGGCACUUCUCCCUGUAACCCAGCACUUGAGAGGCUGAGGCAGAAAGAUUAUCAUGAAUUUGAGGCUUGCAUGGGCUAGUGAGUUUCAAGCCGCUAACUCUAGGCUUACAGAGUGGAACUCUGUCUCAACACAAAAGUCACAAGCAUACUAUUGUAUUAUACAGUUAAUAUAUACAACAAAAAAAUUUUUAUAGACACCUCUUAACACUAGGCAAUUUAAAUAAUUAAACAGCCAAUGCUGUAUAACAUGAACAUAUUAGCAAUGCAAGUUUGAGGAUACAGGAUUUUACUUAUGAAGACUUACAAAUACAUAGUCUGAAAAUUCAGAUGUGCUCUGUCUUCCUGGGAUUUUCUAUUAAAAAAAACAAAAACUGAGCCUUCUUUUGCUCCUUUAUGGCCACUGUGACUUACAGAAGUCUAUUUUUAAAGCACAUUUAUUCAUUAUUAUUUGACAGAUAUAUAUACAUGUGUUGAAUUUUGGUCAUUUUUUUUACCCCUUUCAUCCCCCUUACCCCUGAGAGCUUUAUUCUUUAGGAAAUAAAAAUGCCCUCCUACUUCCAUGUCUUGUGUAUGGAACCCACUGAGUUUACAUAAGGUUACCCAGCUGAGCACCAGUAGGUUAUAUACUGGAGUAUGGGUGUAUGUCACUCCUCAUAUUGUCGCUGAAGCAUGUGACGCCCCUCCAUGAGGGCUACUUUAGGCUUGAAAGAAGGGGAGGUCUCAUGAGCCCUUCUCCCCUCUGAUAAAAUGUUGACAGGCUCUAUCUCAUGCAAGUCUUACACAGGUAACCAUAGCAACAGUGAGUUUGUAAAUACAUCGAUUGUGUUAUAUCCAGAUGACAUUGUUUCCUAACAGCUCCCCUGCCCCCGCAGUCUCUAUCUUUUAUAAUUUUUUCUACACUAUUCCCUGAGACUUAGCGGAAAGGAGUGAUAUAGAUGUUCUAUAUAAAACCAAGCACAGUUAUUUAUUUUUGGCACUUAGCCAGUUAUCAGUCUCUGUACUAACUGUAGUCUAUUGCUUGGGAAGGAUCUAGGGAAGCUUGUCUAAUGAGGGCUGAGAAGUGAACUAUCUAUGAGCAUAGAGAUAAAUAUUGAGAAGGCAUUUUAACACCAUAUCCACUGAGCAAAAUAAUUGUCAUCCAUUUUCCUCUAGGGCCCAUGACCUCCCUGGCCACCAGGGUCUUGGACAAAGGUUGUAGUAGCAGGUAUGAACUCUUUCCUGUGGAGCAGGCCCGAAAUCCAUCAGAAAGUCAUUGAUUCCCCAUGACUACCUUGCCAUUGUUGCAGGAGUGGACACAUCUGGCCAGGCUAGUGAUGACUGGAGCUUAAAGGGCCAACCUUCAGACAGGGUCUCAGUAUGUGGCCCCCUGCUGUCCUGGAUCUCUGUAGACCAGACUAGUCUCAAACUCAUAGAGAUCAGCCUGCUACUACCUCCCCUGUGCUGAGAUUAAUUGUGUGUACCAUACCACUACCCCCCAUUUAUACAAUGCAUUUUGAUUAUAUCCAUCCAACAUUAUCUCUUUCCAGUUGUCUUUAAUGCCUUACCUCCCUCCUAACUUCAAGUCCUCUAUGUGUUGGAGGGGCAAACUCCUUUUAAAAAUUAUAUGUAAUGUGUAUUUUAAAAACUAUUUAAUGGUUGUUUGUUUGUUUUGUAUAUGUAUAUUCCACACAGAUGUGGCUGCCCACAGAGGUCAGAAGAAUGCAUUGGAACCCCAUGGAGCUAAAGUUACAGAUGAUUGUAAGUGACUUGAUGUGGGUACUGUUACCCAGAUUCAAGUCCUCAGGGACAGUAGCAAGCACUCUUAGCCUUUGGGCCACAUUCUUUUAUUUUAUUUUUUUGAAGAGCUUAUAAAUUAUGUUUCUCUAGUUAGCCUUCCCCAUACCGUACUCACUUCUGCCCUCCACGCACCAUCCCCCACACUUGCGUUGUCUUUCUCUCAGUCCCCCCACCCCCACCCCUGUCUCCCUUCAUGCCACCUCUAUUCUGCUGCCUAACCUCCCUUGAGACUUUUCUCUUCCACCCUCGAGUGGCUGUUUUCUAGCUUUCUGGCUUCUGCAGCUAUUCCAAAUUAAACACAGACUCUGGAUUUUGAAGCUAGGAUCCACACCUGAGAGGAUGUGUGGCAAUGGUCUUUCUGGUUCUAGGUAAGCACAUGUCUAUGUUUUAAAUUAGGAAAUUACAAAUAAGUUCAGUGUUUUGGUGUUUGCAUAAUAGAGAGAGCUUAAGAAUAAAGGUGGGGGAAUAAGUCUCAGGCCUGAUUUCCCUUUUACAGAUAAACCUGAACUUGGCAUUUGGCAAGCAAAGGUCAAAGUUUAAACAUUGUAAAUUUUAUGUAUUCAUUACGAUUGUGUGUGAGAGAAUGCUGUGUGUGUGUGUGCCUUGGGCAUGCGCACCACAGUGCACUGUGGAGAUCAGAGGACAGACUUGUGGAGUUGAGUCUCUCCUUCCAUCUCUAGGUGAGUUCUGGGACUCGAACUCAUGUUGACAGGCCUGUGCAGCAAGCACAUUUACCUAGAGAACCAUCUUGUUGGUCCCUAAAUUGAAGUCUUCUCUGCUCCUUUGCUUCCUGGAUUAGAAAGUUGGGUCAUCCGGAAUCUGAUUCCUCAUUCCUUUUUAAAAGAAAAACAAUGAAAAAAGUAAACUAUUUUCUUGUCACUGCCUAUGUCAGAGCAAUACACGUGUGCUUUAUAUAAACUAACCACUUGUCUAUCCAUGUCUGCAGAGAGCCUCAUGGACAUCAAGCACGUGAUGUCUACAGAGGGCACACUCUCCAGAGAAACACAGUAUCAUUGAAAGAAUCAGACAAGGAAGAAAACAAUUAUCAGAGAAAUCUCAUCUAAAAUGCAAAAGAAACCUUGGAGAUGAGCAUCCAGCCUGUUUACCCUAACACUGAAAGAACUCCUGAAUGGGGAAAACAUUUCCAACAGGGCAAGGUAAUCUUGACUGUAAUGUUUGUUUCUGUACCCCAUGUUGCUUGUCUAUUUAACAAGAGAAACAAAAUAAAAUGGACAAGCUUUGAAGUGGGCAGCAUGUGGGGGCUCUGUGUCCCCAGACACUGGCUUCAGAUGAUCUCCCAUGUGUCUGCCAGGUGCAGUAAGAUUCCUGGUGACUCUGAUCAUCACAUCACCCUGAGCAGCAAGGGGACUGCAGGAUCUCAGGCACCCGAGUGGAGGCCACAUUCCUUCGUUUCCUUCAUAUUAGAGGGAAGUGGUUGGACCACACAAUGAUCCUAGAGAAUGAAUCACAUUUGAUUCACUGUCAUGAAGGCAUGUUGUAAUAGACCGAAACCUUGCUCAAAAUCAAUCGCAACGAUUCAUACAGCAGCCACAUUGCCAACCAGAGCAAUCCACUGUUUUUAGACAGUGAAGAGUGGAUUUUCCUUCAAGAUAUGCUGAUUUUUUUUUCUUACUACUCUAGAAAACCUAGCCUGGGCCUCUGUUAGGUUUCCAGUCUUCUUAGAAAGAAAGGAAGAAGGAAGAAGGAAGAAGGAAGAAGGAAGAAGGAAGGGAGGGAGGGAGGGAGAGGGGAAAGGAGAUAAAUAUAAGGACAGGAGUUAAAAAGAAGAAUGGGGAAGAGAGGGAUGCUCGAGUGCUUCUAAAUAAGGAUUUGUGUUUAUUUCAAAGACAGACAGCUCCUCUACAUGGUACAGAAGUUUUAGCUUUUUAAUGGCAGUUAUUGACAAGUCAAUUCCAUGGCACCAAUCCAAGGAAAAGAACCUUGUCACUAUGAAGAAAGCUUUCAAAGCAAGAAUUGCAUUUCCAGUCUAGGUAUUUAAUAUGGAUAUUAAGUUGCCUAGAUAUAGCAAGGAAUUUGAGGAUGGACCUCAAACAAAAUAGUCAUUCAUUUUUACCCUGUGUUCAGUGUUUCCCUUGUUGUCUCAGGCUCCCUCUGCUCUUGAACAAACCAGCCCUAAGUGCACAGAGAAGUACAUCUACCCUCAUCUUUGAGUGCCUGUAUGUCUAGCACAGGCUGAGCUGAAUCAGAGCUAAAGUGCUGUGAGUCUCGUCAGCUGUCCUCUGGCUUGUUUUAUCCCAUCCCCAUGGGAACCAUACUGG